rnacentral:rRNA from 1 species
AGAGUUUGAUCCUGGCUCAGGAUGAACGCUAGCUACAGGCUUAACACAUGCAAGUCGAGGGGCAGCAUUGGAGUAGCAAUACUCAGAUGGCGACCGGCGCACGGGUGAGUAACACGUAUCCAACCUGCCGCUUACUCGGGGAUAGCCUUUCGAAAGAAAGAUUAAUACCCGAUGGUAUAAAGAGUUCGCAUGUUCUCUUUAUUAAAGAAUUUCGGUAAGCGAUGGGGAUGCGUUCCAUUAGAUAGUUGGCGGGGUAACGGCCCACCAAGUCUACGAUGGAUAGGGGUUCUGAGAGGAAGGUCCCCCACAUUGGAACUGAGACACGGUCCAAACUCCUACGGGAGGCAGCAGUGAGGAAUAUUGGUCAAUGGACGAGAGUCUGAACCAGCCAAAAGUAGCGUGAAGGAUGACUGCCCUAUGGGUUGUAAACUUCUUUUAUAAGGGAAUAAAGUGAGGGACGUGUCCCUUUUUGUAUGUACCUUAUGAAUAAGGAUCGGCUAACUCCGUGCCAGCCGCGGC